AACAAGGUGAUGGUGUUCCACCUUUCCCAACCGCCGCGCGAUCGUGCGGCUGAUGACGCCUGAU
rnacentral:ncRNA from 1 species